rnacentral:rRNA from 1 species
GGCAGACGGGUGAGUAACGCGUGGGAAUCUACCGUACCCUACGGAAUAACGCAUGGAAACGUGUGCUAAUACCGUAUACGCCCUACGGGGGAAAGAUUUAUCGGGGUAUGAUGAGCCCGCGUUGGAUUAGCUAGUUGGUGGGGUAAAGGCCUACCAAGGCGACGAUCCAUAGCUGGUCUGAGAGGAUGAUCAGCCACAUUGGGUCUGAGACACGGCCCAAACUCCUACGGGAGGCAGCAGUGGGGAAUAUUGGACAAUGGGCGCAAGCCUGAUCCAGCCAUGCCGCGUGAGUGAUGAAGGUCUUAGGAUUGUAAAGCUCCUUCACCGGAGAAGAUAAUGACGGUAUCCGGAGAAGAAGCCCCGGCUAACUUCGUGCCAGCAGCCGCGGUAAUACGAAGGGGGCUAGCGUUGUUCGGAAUUACUGGGCGUAAAGCGCACGUAGGCGGAUAUUUAAGUCAGGGGUGAAAUCCCAGAGCUCAACUCUGGAACUGCCUUUGAUACUGGGUAUCUAGAGUAUGGAAGAGGUGAGUGGAAUUCCGAGUGUAGAGGUGAAAUUCGUAGAUAUUCGGAGGAACACCAGUGGCGAAGGCGGCUCACUGGUCCAUUACUGACGCUGAGGUGCGAAAGCGUGGGGAGCAAACAGGAUUAGAUACCCUGGGUAGUCCACGCCGUAAACGAUGAAUGUUAGCCGUCGGGGCAGCUUGCUGUUCGGUGGCGCAGCUAACGCAUUAAACAUUCCGCCUGGGGAGUACGGUCGCAAGAUUAAAACUCAAAGGAAUUGA